UACGAAGGGGGCUAGCGUUGUUCGGAUUUACUGGGCGUAAAGCGCACGUAGGCGGAUUGUUAAGUCAGGGGUGAAAUCCUGGAGCUCAACUCCAGAACUGCCUUUGAUACUGGCAAUCUUGAGUCCGGAAGAGGUGAGUGGAACUCCUAGUGUAGAGGUGGAAUUCGUAGAUAUUAGGAAGAACACCAGUGGCGAAGGCGGCUCACUGGUCCGGUACUGACGCUGAGGUAGCGAA
rnacentral:rRNA from 1 species